AGCUGUUCUGUGCUGUCUGCUAUUCCAUUUCGCGUGGCGUCGGACUUGAGGGUGGUUGCUCGAAAUUGACGUUCCCUUUCUUGAAAUUUCACUACCAAUUUCGUGUGCUUAGAGCUUGGACAUGAAUUUUUUGAAUAAAAUUCAUGCGAAGUUGUGAAAGGAGGAGUAUGGCUUGGCUUCUCCUGCAUGUUUUUCAUCUCCGUUAGGCAAAUACACCCAUUUUGGUAACAAAGGUCUUUCAUCUUUGGGACAUACCUGAUAUGCUGUGGUAGAUGCAGAAUCAUUCUGUAAUAAAAAGAAAGGCCAUCAAUGCUCUGUUGUCAGUAUAAUAAAAGAUUAUCAAUAUCA